UUAUGACAUAAUAUUUAAUGUAUAUAUUGUAAUGAACAUUUGUGCGUAUAGGGUAACAAAACAAACUUCAUUUCAGGUAUUUCAAGUUGUCUUGCUGUCAAAACUAUACCUUCAGUUGCAUAAAUCAUCUACAUCUUUAAAGCAUAUUUAUAUUUAUAGAUUAUUUGGAUUUUUAACGUGUAUAUCACAUGUUGAUAUAAUUUUUUUAAUGCAAGUUCUAAAUAAUUCUCUGGAUACAAACAAAUAUUAUAUCAAAAAACUCUAUAAAUUAAUGAUGUUGAAACUAUGGUAUUAUAUUAAUGUAUAAACUUAUUGAUUUAUAAAAAGUUUCAUUUCCAGAAUUAUGUAUUUGAAAAUAUAUUUUUUUCGUCAAAAUUUUAAAAAAUAAUUAAUUUAACAUUUUAUAUAUUAAUUAAAUUUUAUAAAUUUAUAUUUAUUUAUUAUUUUUAUUCUGUUAUUUAGUGUAUAUAAGAUAUAUAUCAUAAAUUUUAGAUAAAUUUUAUGUAUAACUUUAUUAAAUAUUAAAAAAUAUUUUUAAGUGUUAAAAAAAAUAGAAUAGACACCAUUGUGAAUAUAAAAUAAAUAACAUAAUAUUUUUAUAUAAUUAUAUAAAUAUAAUUAUUAAUUUAUGAGUUUAAUGAGUUCAUAUUUUUACAUAAACGUUUUUUAAAAAUAUUAUUUUAUUGAUUUAUAUCUUCAUCUAAAUCGAAAUCAACAAAAUUUAUUAAUUUGUCGUGUUAUUAAUUUAUAUAGUGACUGGUAACCAUCAAGGAACAUUAGGAAUGAUUAGGAAAAGAAUGAAUAAGAAUAAAAUUUUGGGAACUAUGAGGAACAAAGGUUCCUUAUCAAAAUAAACAAGGAACAAAUUUGCAUUAUAAUUCUCUAUAAAAAAAGGAAUGAGAAGGAAUGAAGGGGAAAAAAUAUUCCUCACGAAUAGUAACAUUUUUGAGAAACAUUAAGAAAUGCAGUGUUCCUCUUCGUUCCCUUGGUUACCAUUCAAACCCAUAAUUUCUCCUGUAUGUAUUACUUAUAAUUAAUUUAUAGAGUUUCUGGUGCCUGUAUUACUUAAAAGCGAUCAUAUAACUUGAACUUCUGGCAACCUCUCCAGAUGACAAUAGUGUUUGGUUAGCGACCCAACAAACUACAACAAUAUCUGGUACUGCUCAAUGAAAACUGAUCCUUGCUUUGGUUGAUGUCCAAAAAUUGACUACUAUGUACAGUUUACUUUUAUCCGCUGUGAACAUGAAUUUCGUGAAAGUUACAAAUCUUAGGAUUAAUCCUAAAAGUUGGCUUACCAUAAACUUACUAAAAACCUAGUCCCAGAAAUCUAUUAUAUAAUAGGAGAGUUUCUCUCCCCCUGAUGCGACACGUCAGCGGUCUGUGGGUCCCACUUUUUAAAAGUGUGAAAAAAUGUCAAAUAUAUGGCUCGAAUCCAGGUUAUUGAAAUAUAAACAUCCACAAUUAUACCACUACACUAAAGGAUACUUUGUACAUUGAUGGCCGAAACUAAUAUAUAUUAUGAAGGUCGGAAACUAAUAUAACAUUAUGGACCCCAUCUUUUUUUUUUUAAAUUGAUGGGUAACGAAUGGACUUCGACAAAAUGGGCUUUGGGCUUAUUGAUUUUCUGUUUAUUAGGCUUUGUAUCUGCCCAAAGUGGUGAUACAAACAAAGCUAAGAAGAUUAGGAAAGCCGCCAUCUUCACCAUCUCCUUCGUCGCUUGCGAUUCCCCGUCUGGCAAUCAGUUAUUAUGGUCGAUCUUUAAGGCUCUACGCACGUUUUGCGCCUACCAAACGCUUAGUUUCUGCUCUAACGCCUUCAGAGCUCUCAUAUAUAUAGAAUCCCUCGAGGUAUAAGCUCCAUCUUGUCUCAAACUUUUCUUUCUCAGUUUUCCGUUCGCUUUACUUUCUCACAUCCGUCGCGAAAAUGACUUAUCCAGCUGCUCCAGCCGCUUCAGCCACCAUUGCCGUCGUUCCCUUCUCCACCUUCAACUCUCUCCGCCUUGGAAGGUCCACUCAGUCCAUUGUUGGUCGGCUCAUCCGAUUCUAGGAUUCCAGGAACAUUAACAAGAAUGGAGAGUUUAUGGGCAUCACCAUUCUCCUCCUUGAUGAACUGGUGAUGAUUGUUUCUAACUUAUUUUUUAUAACUUUAACUCUGCUUUGCUUAUUCUUUGUACAUAUAUGAAACAUGUCUUCAUGUUUUUGUUUUAGUUUUGUCUAUGGAUUUUUUUAUGAACAACUAAUGAUUUUUCUCUGUUUUUCUUACAGGAUUCUGUGAUCCACGGUUUCAUCCCUGCAAUCUCCAAACAAAACAUGAAAACUGAAUGAAUUAUGUUUUUAGCAACCGAAUCUAAAAGAAAUAAAAGACAUCUUACUUAAUAAAUUAAAACCUUUUCUUUUGCAGAUUCCAACGACGAUGAAGCACCCGAGGACCAACGACAAUGGAAUGAUGCGGACGAAGCCUAACUGAUGGAUCCCACAGGUGAUGCUGUCCCGACAACGGAGAAAAAAAAAAGAAAGAUAACCUAACGUUUUUUUUAUUUUCAGUUUUUAAGUUCAAAUCAUGUUUUAGAUAUAGAACCCAACAUAAUUUGAGCCCAAACAUUUUAAACCCACAAUUACUUUUUCAUAAUGUAAAAACGUCAACCUUCGUUUAUGUUUUGUUAAACUAUUUUAAUUCUUUAUGUUUUGUUAAACUAUUUCACACAGGGGGCAGAUCUCCUUAGAAGGGGAGCCACUCGCCACGAUGCUUCCAGUUUCACCAUUCUUGAAACUCUUAUGAACCAUAAAGCCAAUAUAAGAGCUCUGUUUCAAUCCAACGGCUGGAUUUUGUCACAGACCACCGCUAAGCCUGAAGAGAGAAGAGAAGUGAAGUGCUGCGUUUUGGAAGAUGGUUACUUGGAGUUUACAAUAUGAAGAUGGAACCCGUGACGAGGAAGACGAGGAAGACGAGGAAAAGUGUUGCUUGGAAUAUCCUAACGUUGAAGAUGUAGACAAUGUGUGAUCUUAGCGAUGAAGAUUAGUGUAGCUUUAAUAUAUGCUACUAAGGUCCUUGAGCUCCCUAACAAGUACUAGCAAACAAUGUGUAUUUUGAAAAAAUAAAAUAAUUUUGUAAUGCAAGUAGUUUGAAACUUUGAGUAUUUAUUCAAACAACGGAUAUACAGAGUUGAUAACUUGAUAUGGACUCCCAAAUAAGUUGGUGCUGCGCUGUCACAAUAUCUGUCUUUUUAAUUUCAUAUACCUGACGUAAGCUUCUUCAUUUUCUUCUCUUUCCCUUUCCGUUGUUCCACGCUCUCUGUUUCAUGUUUAGGCCUUUUUCACAUUCUCUAUAUUUUACCUUAAUUAUACUUUUUGAAUUUUCCUUCCGUUUUGGGAAAUGUCUCUAACUUGAGUUAAUCGUCAAAAGUUAGGAUCAAUUUUGUUGUCUUAUUUCCGAUAAAUUUUAUUCUUUAAUUUGCAUAAAUCUUAAAUAACACUAACAUUCCGUAAAUCAUACCACUCCAUCGAUAUCCAAAGUAACCAGCCCCGCGCUUGCGCGGGGUCUCAGCACCUAGUUUAAAGAAUAUUGAAGUGCAAUGACAACAACCAUAUUCAUGUCCACAUGUAGACUCCUUUCAUCCCGUGGGAUGUGCCACUUUUUUUUGAAAUCAAGAGCUUGAGAAUUUUGUAGCUAAUCCUACAAAUUUUACCACGAUAUUUUUUCCAUAGAGGAAAUUAUUAUGUGGGCAUUUUUUUUGUGGGUUUCUUAUGUUUUUAUUUCGCAGGCUCAUUAUCACCCAUAAGCAAGUCGAUAAGAGUAUUUUCUGCACACGCCCAUUCUGAAUCCCAAAUAAACAGCAUAUGCAAGUUAACAGAUCGUUCUAUUAUUCCUUUGUUUUGUCAGGUUUUCAAGAGUCUUUACUUCUUUGAUGGACGUGCGUAAGGCUUCACAUUGCUCUUUGGAGAGGCUAGAAGCAACCAGUGGAUUCUGGCCUGUGAAAAGUGAAAGACAUGCAGUAUUAAUCCUAUAGCAUGUAAAUCGAGUAGCAAAAUGUACAAAUUUUCAAAAAAGUGAAUACUUUGUCAAUCAAAUGACAAAUAGGUGAUUCAUUUUAUCUCAAGUUUUUUAAUAGCUUAAAAGGAAGCUUCCUUGGUACAUAACUUUAUUUUUGUUGCAGGUUUUGGACUUUCAUAAAUCAAAAUUCAAUGUUGUAUCUGAAAGAAGUAUAAAGGUCAAGAGUAAAGUGAGAAAAAUGAAGUAAGUUGUGAACCUGAUCAAGUAAGACAAGUUUCAUGGUGUAAUAUCUCCACUAAUCUCUGCUUUUGCGUAGAACUCGUACUUAUCUU